GUGUCCUGGAGGGGCUGCUGGACUCAGGGGAGGUGCCUUCUUUCUCCAGUUCUCAGUGAAGUCAGUCUUCAUCAAGAGUAAGCACAACAGAAGAAAUCACUUAGUAACUAUGUAAAGUGAGACUCGAUGAUAGAAGUAGAAGUAAUCCUGGCAUUCUAAACCAAUAAAGAGAAGAGGAAAUGGCAAUUGAAGCUAUUCCUUUGGAUCCAGAGAUGGAAGCCACAGGUUAAGGAUGGCAGACCUCCCAACCUUCCUGACUGUUCGGCUGAUUCCAGGAGAACUGAUGAGCACAGGCUGGAAGUUACCAGUUUAUCUCUUAGAAUCUACUAUUUGCUACAUGGACAUGCAGGUUCUUUUCACAUCAUUUCCAGUAUCACUCAAUUCAGGGCCUGAUCUGGAUGCAGAGUUGACGUGUGGUGUUCCAAGGUCCCAUCUACUCAGUGUUGAUAUAAUGACUCUCCAAGGUAAAGAAAUGGUCACAUAUUAACUGAGGAACUCUUUU
rnacentral:lncRNA from 1 species